GUCGAUCCCGAUUUGACACCGUUUUACCGGCCGAAACGUGCAAAAUUUCUGUCAGAGUGCCAGAGACAUUUUUCCGGUCAUUUAGGUUCAAAAUUUCCGUGCCAUGUACUUUCUAGCGAAAAACAUACGAAACUGUUCAAGAUCAUUCCGCAGCUCACCCGAUAAGGCCAAAUUGUACCAGAAUGGUAUUCUGAACUGGGAAUACCUUGCCAAGAAGUUGUCGUACUUUGUCACCCAUCCGGAACAGAUUAAGUCCAAAUUGAAGGAAAAGGAUGCGCACAUGUUGUGCCAGUUUUUCGAUUCCGACGAAUACAAAAGUCGAGUUAGUCAGUUUUUGGAGAUGCAAGAGAAAAUCUUGUCCAAGGACACUAUUAGUGGGAUAAAACCGCCGGGUUCAGUGACGUACCAGCACGUCUUGAGUUGCGCCCAACCGAACCACAAGAAGCCGAAAGUGUUCAUGGAUGUGGAGGAGCCACCGGAGCCCAUAAUGAAAAUCGGCGAAGAACGGCGAAGAAAAGUGAAAAGAUGCACCAUUUUCGAAGAACUGCUGAACCGAAAGGGCAAAACCGACAUGCAAAAGGACUCGGACUGUGUCAGUGUGAAGAGCGAGUCGAAACCGAAGCGAUUCAGGCAGCGAAGCACCAUAAUGCCGAUUUUUCUGAAGAAAAUCAAACAGAGGCACCAGCAGGAGGACUACGAGAUUGAAGACGAGCCUGGAGACGCGGAAAACAUGGCAGAUUUCACCGAUCAAACGGCGCGACGCUUGCGACGAUUUGAAGAUGAAGAGCCGCUCUUUGCGCAGAUUCUCCAUAGAAGCAACAUGCCAAAGCUACGACGAUCUUCCUCCCAGUUGAACAUUUCAGCGCCGCGCUCCUCCACGCAACAGCAGCGGCCUCAAACGGCCAGCAGCCUGGAAAUGCGCUCCUCCACCACCCCCUACCGGCUGCAAUCAAAGGAGCCAUCCAGACCAGUGCCUGCCGCUGUUAGGCUGCGAAGCGCCUCCUACAGACCUGACAGCACCAGGGAGCCGGACAAAGUCUCCUACAGGUUCUCCUCGCGAAGAAACGUGCUGGAGCCGAUUGACCCAGCGAAGAUUCCCCAAUUCAAGUCCAACUUUUCCACCAGCAUUGAUCACAGCUCCAAGCUGGAAGUGGUACCGCUCAGAAUGGGCAGUUUGAGGGCGAAAGUGCCAGCGAAAGCCCCACUCUACACAGAGUUCAGGAGGAAGAGCAUGAAUUUGAAGAGCUUCUCGGACUUUCUGUGCGUGGAGCCGGUGAAGCAGCAGAAGGCGCUCAAAGUUGAACAAACCGCCGAGCCCAAGGGGGUGAAAGUCAAGGUGCUGAAGCAGAAGGCCAAGAAGAAGAAGACGAAGAAGAAACCGGCCAUUCAGCUGCUGAUGGAGCAGCUGCAAGCGGCGCGGGCCUGGAAUUUGCCUGAAAACUUCCAGAAGGAAAGCGUGAUGAUGAAAGCGCAAGGGAACAGGAAGGAAACUAGGGGGGCGCGCCCAAUGGAGGUUUCGUCGCUUUUCAACAAAGUGAAACUAGGCACCUCCAAACGUCCGGAGCCUGUCCAAGAGAGUCCCCCGAAACCAAUCAGUUUGCUGGACAAAGUCAUUCUGAAGCCGCGCUUGGUGGGCAAAGAGCUCAAGCCCAAACCCAGUAGACAUCAGCAGAGUUUCACUUACAAGAUUGUGGCUCAGAACCGCGAGCGGCGGGAGGCCAAAUUGCGCAAACAGUUCAAAAUCAAUUCCCUGUGUUGCCCUGUUGAGUGCCAAGCGGGCAAAGAGCUUGAGCGAAUGUCCGCGAGGAAUAAUUUCCUCAACUUUGAGGGAACGCUGCAGCGUUUGGGCACAAGAGACUGCCCACAGCUUUAGCCCAACCAAAGCUAGCUGAUGAAAAUCGCUCAUUAUUGUCAUUGUUUCGCAGCGCUCAGAAGCCCAAAAGAUAUCUGGUCCGAUUGCCCAAAACCACGCCCGAAGGAUACCGAGUGCUGCUCUACUCAGUCCGAGACCCUGAUCCGACUAAAAUGAACUUCA